GGGGGGGGGGGGGGGUGAAGGCGGCGUGGGAGUUCGAGAGCAUCGUCACGCUUGCGGCCGCGUCGCAGCAGGAGGGCGUCGCGUUCCAGCGCUGGGAGAUCCAUGGCGUGCGGUCAAGAUCCACGGCGGCGGGCGCAUCCUCAGCCGGCACUGUGGAUGGUGGUUCAGGCCCACUUUCAUCUUGGCAGAAAUACCAGCCCCUUCCUCAUCGCUAAACCUGCUUCGCGGCACCUCGGCUACGCGGGGAUGCAGCAUUCAUCUGCUGCAGCGUCCCUUCCUUGCAAGACAUCCCCACUCCUUGUGCCUUCCACGCACCUGGUGCCUGCUUUUGGCUUAGGUGGCCGGUUGCUGAAGCUGUUAUGCUUGCAUCUCAGGCAUUCGAGGCAGAAUAGCAUCAAAGGAGACAUGCUGACCGGUAGAUGAGGUGCAAGCCUGAAGAUCCACGUCCACAAAGGUGUGAUCUUUUGUCAUUUCUUUUCACUACAGGUUUCUUAUAUGCUCCAUAUUUUGCUUAAGCUCAGUUCUGAUGGCAAGUACUAGCCAUAUUGUUCCUUAAUUUGGCUACAUUUUCAAUUCAUCUUCCAUACUACUGCUUUAGUUAAUAAUUGUAUGGCUGACCAGUGUUCUUAAGUGGGAGUAAUAAUUAUAGAAGAGUCCAAUCUGUCGAGUUAUGCUUGGGAGCCUCAAAACUCAGAAUAGGUGAUUAGUUUGUAUCUAAUGACUACUGCUUUAGUUAAGAAUAUCGGUAAAACAGUUGGCCGUGAUCUACCAUUCCCCUAAUUUAGUGUAUUCAUGAGUUAAAUGAGAAUAUCAGUCAUCAUAUUGAGAUCAUUUAAUUAAUUUUGCAUGCUCGAAUUUUUUUCCCAUUCUCCCUCCUGAACUACUAUGCAUCUCUAUCAAAUAAGCAUAAUUGCAUCUUCUGUAUCUUGCAUUCUGUAUCUUGAAUAUCAGUCAUCAUAUUGAGAUCAUUUAAUUAAUUUUGCAUGCUCAAAUUUUUUUCCCAUUCUCCCUCCUGAACUACUAUGCAUCUCUAUCAAAUAAGCAUAAUUGCAUCUUCUGAAUCUUGCAUUGUGUAUCUUGAACUACUAUGCAUGCUUGGUCAACAAUGGAUGGACCGACCUGAAAAGGAAAGCUGCUCUUGGCUACUCAAAUUGUUAGCUAUCUCAUGAUUAAGGAGCAGGGUGGCACCUCCGUUGCUCUCUGAACCACCAACCACACCAGAGCGGCAGCAAGAUUACUGAACCGAGAUUACAUGUCCUCCCCAAUCUCCUUAUGCUACAUUGAACUGAUCUUGGAGCCAGUAAAGAAAAGAAUAUGUGGUUCUGCAACCUUCCGAUUCCCACCGUCUGAACCUCUUCUCCUGAAGGAAAAACCUGUGGUUUCUGGGAUCUUAUUUUGUGAUGUUUCGAUCUUUUUUUUUGUUUGGAACAACUUAUGAUGUUUCAAUCUGGUUUUGUGGAUCUUGGGGGCAUGAUGUUUCCGGAUGAUAUCUUGCUGAAAUCUGUGUAUGAUUGAUGCAAUGUGCUAAGACCCUGAAUCAAAUCUGCAGGCCUUAAAGGCUCUAAGCGAGGUGGCAAGGUGCCUGUGCCAGCCAAGCUCGGACGCAGCAUGGGCUGCUACAGCCUGGAGCCACGGGCAGACAAGGCCGUAUGGGCACGUUGCGGUGGGUCAGUCCUGGGUGGUGGCGAGAGGGCGGCGCGGCAACAUGCUCCUGGUCGAGCUUGAGCUCAAGCACAGCAACGAGCGCCGGCCAGCAUGGCGGAUAUGCUCAUGAGCCUGCUAUAUCCAGUUAUCAUUCUGAUCCCAUAUAUGGGUGAUAAGGGCAACUAGCACUAGAAAACUUUGCCACUAAAUGACCACGAAACAACACCUACCUUUUAAUAUGCUAUCGCCUUGCAUUUAGGGAAGCAAAUAGUAAGGCAGUGAUCUAAGAGUACAUAUUGUGAUGGCAUUACUUUUAUUGGUCUUCCGCAGCACUAAGUCAUGAACCCAUGGAUUGUUCCUGCAAUUCGACAUGUUGUCAUAUGUAAAACUUGUAUUUGAGUAAAACAGUGCAUAUGUUAGCAUAUUAACGAUGUAUUUAUUACCAUAUGGUGUGAUUUUGUGUCGAAUUAUUAUCAUAUACUAUGUAUGACAUUUGUCA